ensembl:lncRNA
CUAAUUAACCAGCCAGAUUAGAAGGGUCUAGGAUUCCUUUGUAAGGCGCAGCAAAAAAAGACAAUCAGAUACAAUAUCAGGGAUCUUCCGGUAAGGCGUCUGGCUACCAUUAGUUUUGAAUACUGAGGAUUUGAGGAGAAAAAUGGCUGUGAGUUUUGAAAUGACUUUGAGAAUUUCUUGGAUUUGUUGCCUGCUAAUUGGAGGGAUAAACUGUUAUCCUCCACCUAAAGGUAAUUAUAGAUAUAUUCCCCAAAAUCAAUUAAAAGGAAUUGGCCACAAUGCAGCGGUAGCUACCAGCUCCCGUGCCUCGGCAGGUGAAGCUACCGGAUCCCGUGUCUCGGCAGGUGAAGCUACCGGAUCCCGUGUCUCGGCAGGUGAAGCAGCCACCCGUAAUGCCACUGCAAGCGUCACGACUGGCCCAAAUACCUUAGGUGGAGCAACCGGAUCCCGUGCCUCAGAAGCAGUCACCCACAAUGCCUCAGCAAGCGUCAAGACUGGCACAAAUACCUUAGCUGAAGCAACUAGCCACAAUGCUUCAUCAAGCGUCACGACUGGCCCAAAUACCUUAGGUGAAGCAACUGGCCACAAUGCUUCAUCAAGCGUCACGACUGGCCCAAAUACCUUAGGUGAAGCAACUGGCCAUGGUGCCUCGGUAGUGGAAGCAACUGGGCACAGUGCCAUGCCAGUGGCCACCCAUAAUGCCUCGGAAGCGGCCACCCACAAUGCUUCAUCAAGCGUCACGACUGGCCUAAAUACCUUGGGUGACAUAUCCGACCCAAGUGCCUCAGCAGAAGCAGCAACCCAUAAUACCUCAGCAAGUGCCACGACUGGCCCAAAUGCCUUACGUGAAGAAGCUGGACACAGUGCCUCGACAGCGGAAGCAACUGGCCAUAAUGCCUCGGAAGCGGCCAUCCAUAAUGCUUCAUCAAGCGUAACGACUGUCCCAAAUACCUUAGGUGAAGAAACCGGCCACAGUACCUCAUCAAGUCGGUACCUCAUCAAAUCUGGUUCAAAUGCCUCGGCGGAAGCCACAGGAGCCCUUGCCUCGGCGGAAGCCACAGGCGCCCUUGCCUCGGCGGAAGCCACAGGCGCCCUUGCCUCGGCGGAAGCCACAGGCGCCCUUGCCUCGGCGGAAGCCACAGGCGCCCUUGCCUCGGCGGAAGCCACAGGCCUCGAACAGGAGGGCCAACUCCUCAAGCAACAUGGAUUUUAGCAGCAGUGGUGUUUCUCAGGAUUUUGGGUCUGAUGGGGCCAAUGAAAGUACCCAAUGUCUCAGCUCCAUCAGCGUUCAAGGCAGCAUCGUUGAAUAGUCAGUUCUCAUCCCAAUAUAUUUACAAAUCUGUGUAUGAGAAUGGCAAGACUGUCUACUCCCAAACCUGCCACACCACUGGGGAGGUUAUACCAUUUUGAUAGCGGAGAUACUCUCAAGGACGUUGGCAUCUCUGAACCAAGCAUAUCCCCACCUGCUAAAAACUCACAACCUGCUAAAGGUGCCCUGCCACAAGGGAAGUCUACUGGGAUGUAAUGUGCAACUUUUACACUCACCUGCACUUUGCGUUCUGAUUUAGAAAUCAUUUGUACUAAUCAUCUAUCAACAGAAUUGCAAUGGUAGAUUCAUCCUUUAGAUGACAAAUCCAAGUUGUUGCUGACACUUUCUUUAAGCUUCCACUGUAUGCUUUUGCGUCGGCCAGGGAGAUGCUGCUGCUCAUGCUACCCUGCAUUACUUGUAAAACAAUAAAAUAUUGUACUUUAAGUGCCUCCUUGUGUUUUGAAAUACUGUGUGUUUAAUGUCUACCUUUGGCUAGCUGGUUGAGAACCGUGUUGGUUGCCAGUGCAAUUUGUAGUAAAAGGGAAUGUUCCUAUUCUUUUGGAUUUGAAAUAUAUAAUUUAUUUUCUUUGCUGCUGGUUGACAAAUCCCAAGAUUGGCUCUACGUUAAAGCCACUGACCAUCAAUAUCCCGUUCGGGAUACUAAAGUAUUUAUUUUGUGUUGACAUGUAAACAUCAAAUCCUGUUUUACAAAAACCUGAGAAAGCUUGUACCCUGGAGAUGGGCUACUGUGGCAUGUAACCAUCAAUUCUGUUUUUGUGGUGAAACGUCUCAUGGUUGUCUGACUCUGUCAAAUUCAUUUAAAGUGGGCUACUUGCUCAAUUUGAUCCACCAUUACUGAGCUUAAUGGCUAUGUUCACCCCUAAUUUAGAAAAGUUUCUGCUUACUUCCUUUUGGUAGGCCAUUUGUCAACUAUAUUUUAAUACAUGCAGCUUCUCUUCUGUCAUAACUUGUUGCCCCAGAAGACUAAAGUAGUGCUCACAAAUCUCUUACAUUGCUAGAAUAAAUGCAUUAGUCAUCUUAACAGGUAAAAUGAUUUAAGGACCAGGUAGCAUGCUAGAACACAGUGGAAACAUUGGUCCUGUGCCAAAUGUCAUUUUGACAGAUUUUAAGGAAAUGGAAUGCUGAGAAUGGUAACUUCAGUUAGUCUUGGGUGUGUAUUGAAUGUGAUUGAAAUGCGGUCUGCUUGCAAGUGUCAAAGAUGACACAUUACAUGUUCAUUUUCCCCGAGAGGCUGAGAAAUAUUUAUCCACUCCUGUUCCCAAGACAAUUUAAAGAUUCAAUUUUAUCAUUUCACUGCAACUGAAGUUAAUAUAAACUCUGCAAAAAAAGAAACGUCCUCUCACUGUCAACUGUUUAUUUCCA